CCCAAACUUCCAAUUCCUCUCUUUUCUCUCCUUUGCAUAUCUUGCAUCUGCCUCCUUCGUAUCGUAUCUCUCUAUCUUCCCUUUGUCUUAACUUUUAAAGGGCCAGACUCUCUGUACGUCAUCAGUUGAUAACCCAAUAGAAGCACUAGAGGUGUGGUUAUCUUCCAGAUCGCAAAUUAGUUAUUUGGUCUGUAGAGGGCAGUCUUGUCCCACUAAACAUACCUAUCCAGGAAAGAGUUAACUUUUCCUGGUGGCUAUUUUGAC